AAGCAUAUCAAUAAGCGGAGGAAAAGAAACCAACAGGGAUUGUCUUAGUAACGGCGAGUGAAGCGACAAAAGCUCAAAUUUGAAAUCUGGCACCUUCGGUGUCCGAGUUGUAAUUUGAAGAAGGUAACUUUGGAGUUGGCUCUUGUCUAUGUUCCUUGGAACAGGACGUCACAGAGGGUGAGAAUCCCGUGCGAUGAGAUGUCCAACUCUAUGUAAAGUGCUUUCGAAGAGUCGAGUUGUUUGGGAAUGCAGCUCUAAGUGGGUGGUAAAUUCCAUCUAAAGCUAAAUAUUGGCGAGAGACCGAUAGCGAACAAGUACAGUGAUGGAAAGAUGAAAAGAACUUUGAAAAGAGAGUGAAAAAGUACGUGAAAUUGUUGAAAGGGAAGGGUUUGAGAUCAGACUUGGUAUUUUGUAUGUCUUGCUUUCGGGUGGGGCCUCUGCAGUUUACUGGGCCAGCAUCGGUUUGGACGGUAGGAUAAUGACAUUGGAAUGUGGCACU
rnacentral:rRNA from 1 species